GAAGUGAUUUAAGGGAUGAACAGGAAGUGAGGUCAAGCAUAAAAAGGAAGUUACGAGACAAGACGAGAAUUGGGGGGAAGUGGAUAGAAGACAUUGCUGGAACUGGCAGCAGAGGAGAUCACAUCAAAGAUGAACAAGGACUGGGAUCACAUGAUCAAGAGAUUAUUGAACCUCACUCUGGAGAUCAUCUGUGUGCUGAUUGGAGAGCCUGGAGACCAAUUGAUUCCUCCACCUCCUGACCUGCCACCUGAGAAAAAACAUAAGAAGAAGAUUCUAGAAGUCACCAACAAGAUCUUUGGGCUACUGACGGGAGAGGUUCCUAUAAGGUGUCAGGAUGUCACUGUCUAUUUCUCCA